rnacentral:miRNA from 1 species
UGCCGAAGGAGAUUUGUCCUG